rnacentral:rRNA from 1 species
GACGAACGCUGGCGGCGUGCUUAACACAUGCAAGUCGAACGAGACGAUUGAAAGCUUGCUUUUGAAAGUCGAGUGGCAAACGGGUGAGUAACGCGUAGACAACCUGCCUUUGAGAUGGGGACAACAGUUCGAAAGGACUGCUAAUACCGAAUGUUGUAUAUUUUCCACAUGGAAGAUAUAUUAAAGAUGGCCUCUAUUUAUAAGCUAUCGCUCAAAGAUGGGUCUCAGUCUGAUUAGCUGGUUGGUGGGGUAACGGCCUACCAAGGCGACGAUCAGUAACCGGUCUGAGAGGAUGAACGGCCACAUUGGGACUGAGACACGGCCCAGACUCCUACGGGAGGCAGCAGUGGGGAAUCUUCCACAAUGGACGAAAGUCUGAUGGAGCAACGCCGCGUGAGUGAAGAAGGGUUUCGGCUCGUAAAGCUCUGUUGUCGGGGACGAAUGUGCAGUAUUUGAAUAAAGUACUGCAAUGACGGUACCUGACGAGGAAGCCACGGCUAACUACGUGCCAGCCGCCGCAGUAA